rnacentral:rRNA from 1 species
UACGAAGGGAGCUAGCGUUGUUCGGAAUCACUGGGCGUAAAGCGCACGUAGGCGGACGUGUCAGUCAGGGGUGAAAUCCCGGAGCUCAACUUCGGAACUGCCUUUGAUACUGGCGAUCUCGAGUCCGGGAGAGGUGAGUGGAACUGCGAGUGUAGAGGUGAAAUUCGUAGAUAUUCGCAAGAACACCAGUGGCGAAGGCGGCUCACUGGCCCGGUACUGACGCUGAGGUGCGAAAGCGUGGGGAGCAAACAGG